AAGGUAAAGUUCUGCCCUUGUGGAAGAAGUGAAACAAAAAAUGGCAGAAACAGUAAAAGACAUCAAAAUUGACGUGUUCCAAAACUGUUUUGCAUUAAAUAGAUAGU